CGAUGGAAAAAAAAAAGGAGAAAAGAGGCGUAGUACUCUAUAGCAGAAAUGAAGACAAUUUAUCGUCAUAUUACCCGUACAUAUGGAUAAUAUAUAUUGUAAAAAAUAGUUCUAGUCUAAUUAACAGCUGAUUACUUGAGGUGUACACUCUUAUCUCAUGCUUUAUUGGCUAAAUUUUAAGACAAAAAUUGAGGAUCUAGGUUGUGUAAUGUUGGCUUUUAUACAAUAUAUAUAAAAUACAGUUUAAAACUCCGAGUUACAAGCAACUAGUACUCCUUGACAAUAAAACAUAAACGGACAAAAUACGAUUUAUUUUUUGUAUAACUGGUACGUGAGGAAUAGGAUUCUUGUCCAUUGAGUUGCCGUGUUGUUGUUUUUUUUCCCGUAUACUCCCUCCGUUCUACAUUAUACUCCCUCCGUUCC
rnacentral:lncRNA from 1 species